ACAGUAUAAUGUAAUGGUAUCAUAUAACGCUCAUGUCGUUAUAAUAAUAGUUCGAAUCUAUUUACUGUA